rnacentral:rRNA from 1 species
UACGUAGGGGGCAAGCGUUGUCCGGAUUUAUUGGGCGUAAAGAGCGUGUAGGCGGCUUUGCAAGUCCGUUGUGAAAACUCGAGGCUCAACCUCGAGACGCCGGUGGAAACUGCAAAGCUAGAGUCCGGAAGAGGAGAGUGGAAUUCCUGGUGUAGCGGUGAAAUGCGCAGAUAUCAGGAGGAACACCGGUGGCGAAGGCGGCUUGCUGGGCCAGUUCUGACGCUGAGGAGCGAAAGCGUGGGGAGCGAACAGG